rnacentral:lncRNA from 1 species
UUUAUUAAAAAUUAUAAUGUUCGGUGUAAAAUUUGGAGUGCAGAUAACCUCCUUCCCAUCUUAAUUUAGAGCCAGUUUAUUAAAUUUUGGACAAAAAAUACUUUUUAUCUCCAAAAAUAUGGCAAGAAAGCUUAACAAUGUUUAUGAAAUUUUACAAGCAUUGAGGUGUUUCUUUAGAUAGCACAUACAAAGGUGCUUUUUUUUUUCAAAUACAAUCAAAUCUAAUUCGCUCAAUUUGCUCAAUCAGUAUUUGAUCUAUGAAAAUCCAAUCCAUGGACUCGUGAACUUGAUUCAAUUAGAAAAUUUAGAAUAUGUAAUCGAGUGGAUUAAAUAUAGAUUUACUUCUACAUAUCUAUUAAAAAAAUAAAUUAUUAUUGUGUUCUGGAUAUUAAAAAAUAAUUUAUUUAAAAUUUACACAAAAAAGUUAUACAAGGGUCACUAUUAGUAAAUACUUUAUUAAGUUAAAAUGAAGUUACCCAUAUUUUACCUUACCUAAUAAUAGUAUAAAACAAAAAGAAAAGGGGUGAGCAGCAUUCUGUCCGGUUCAAUUUUUGCUGAACUAAGCUAAAUCAAAUUAACAAAAUUAAAAAUAUGAACUGAUCUGAAAUCAAUCUGGUCCGGUUAUUUUCAAUUUUUAAACUUUAUAAAUCCUUUGUUUUUCUAGUUAUUUGGUUUCGGUUUGAUUUUUUAUUUGAUUGAUUAAAUAGAUCGGAUUUUUCUUAAUUUAAAAAAUAAACCAAAUUGAACCAAAUUGUUGGUUCGAUUCUUCGAGGUCACUGUUUUUUGUCCACCUUCUAAAAAAUAAUUCAAUAAAUAAACAAUUAAAAUGAAACCCCAGUUUAUUUAAACUAUAUUAGUUUGCGUGUGUACUAGGCUACAUAUGACUGGAUUGGCCAGAGAUGCCCCUCGGUCAGGAUAAAAAAAUUCAGGGUUGGCGUGGUCUUUGAGUCGCCUUUCUGUUGUGUAGUUCAAGAAUUAGGACCACAAGCAUUUCCAAGUGUUGGUUUGGCUCGUAAAAACUUGUCUUGGAUACAUUGAGUCUGGCGUUGAAUUUUUUUUUUUUUAAGAGAACUAUUACUCAUGAUAUUUACACCAUACAAAUUAUUGAGACUCAUUUACAUUAAUUUUGUUAUGCUACUGUUUAAAUUUUUAAUUCUUUCAAAGAUUUGAGGGACAACCAACUCCUAUUUUAAGAAAAAAAUUACCUUCACUCAAGUUAUAAAACUCCAAAAAAUAACAUUUAAAUUAAAAUUCCACAAUAUAUCUAUAGGACCUCAAAUCACUUCCCUCACAUUUAUGAGAGAGUGGCUCUAGCCACUUGGCUAAGCCCAAGUGGUUUUCUGGCGUUGAAUUGCUCAAGCGGUAAAUUGCUUGAUUUUAGAGAAUAAUAGACCUUGAUGUAGACAGUGCGUGGGAGCAUUUAAUGUUCAAGAAAUAAUGGAGAACCUUGCGAUUGUCCAAAGUCUAAUCGGGCAAUAAAUUGGUGGGAAACCCUACUCACUUUAGCGAUGGUAUUUUAUGGUAUUAGGACUAUAAAAAAUGAUUGGAGGUCUCGGAUGUGUUUUUGGGAUUGAGGAUAUAUUUAAAAUGGUUUUGGUAAUUGGUACCUUUUUUCACAGAUGUUAUUGUAACAAUUGCUUGGUGAUGAAGGCAUGAUCUAUGGAGUUUUAGUGGCUUUGAUUAAAGUAAAG